CCAAGAGUUUGGAAUCAAAAUUAGCGAGAAGCUUGCUCAAGCACGCAUCCUACCUGCACCCUGGGUACUUUUUUUUAAUAUCAAGAUCAACUUAUUAAAUUUUAGAAAUUUAGGUAUUGUUUUUCUAAUUAAUAACCAUUGAUUUUGUUUUCUUCAGCUCAAAUAUCAUGAUACAGGUAGAGAGAGGAUUGUCUUCCUCAAGUUGGGUAGUGGAAUAUGAUGAAUAACGUACUUGUUUGGUGCCUUUUUGUGUGGUGGUUAUGUACAUUAUACAAUGAUAAUAUAGAAUGUGUGGUUUUUCUUUCUUGAACGGUUUGAAGGUGUGAGCUGUAGUGGGUUGGUUUUUAAGUUUUCGUUAGAGUUUGUAAGUUUGAGUAAGGUUCUAUUUGAAUGUAUCAUGUUCAAAUACAUGCAUGGUGACGAGGUGUUUGUCUUUGGAAUGACUUUAUGAAGGAUAGAAAAUGUCUGGCUUAUGGCUCGCAAUCUGAUUAUUUGUUGACUUUCAUUUGAUGAAUAAUAACAAAUUUCUAUUUCUUUCAGAAAAUGGUUAAUGGGGGUACUGUUAACCAUUGGUUCUGCAUCAAUUUUUCAAGGAGUGUUCAGGAUAGCGUUGCCCGUGGCUUUUGCUAUGAACUUUUGCUCAGAUGUGUUAUAUAUUUGGCAUGGUUUGUAUAUAUUCCUUUUAAUGAAAUUGUUUUGAAUGCAGUGUUUUGAUUAUUUGCUCAUUGUUAUUUUACCUGACAAUGAUGGAUCUCUUUAUGGUGAUCUCAAACGUAUAUGUGAGACAGAUCUUGGACUAGUUUCACAAUGUUGUUUGACUAAGCACGUCUU